rnacentral:tRNA from 1 species
GUCGUUCGCUCGCCUAGCUAGAACGUUUGAAUUGCAUUCAAAAGGUAGUCGGUUCAAGUCCGAUCAGCUCCA